rnacentral:rRNA from 1 species
CCCUUAGAUGUUCUGGGCUGCACGCGCGCUACACUGAAGCUAUCAACACGUUUUCCCUCCCUGAGAAGGGCGGGUAACCUUUUGAAUCAGCUUCGUGGUAGGGAUCGGGGCUUGCAAUUGUUCCCCGUGAACCAGGAAUUCCUAGUAGACGCGAGUCAUAAGCUCGCAUCGAUUAAGUCCCUGCCCUUUGUACACACCGCCCGUCGCUACUACCGAUUGAACGUUUUAGUGAGGCAUUUGGACCGACGCAUCUCAGUUUAACCGCUGGUCUGUGUUGGAAAGACUUCCAAACUUGAGCGUUUAGAGGAAGUGAAAGUCGUAACA